rnacentral:rRNA from 1 species
UACGUAGGGGGCAAGCGUUGUCCGGAUUUAUUGGGCGUAAAGAGCGUGUAGGCGGCUGGGUAGGUCCGUUGUGAAAACUCGAGGCUCAACCUCGAGACGCCGAUGGAAACCCCCCAGCUAGAGUCCGGAAGAGGAGAGUGGAAUUCCUGGUGUAGCGGUGAAAUGCGCAGAUAUCAGGAAGAACACCCGUGGCGAAGGCGGCUCUCUGGGACGGUACUGACGCUGAGACGCGAAAGCGUGGGGAGCGAACAGG